GGGCGGUAGCUCAACUCGGUAGAGCAUUCGGCUUUUAACCGAAUGGUUGCGGGUUCAAAAAUUGCGGGCUUCCGCCCG
rnacentral:tRNA from 1 species